GAUGAAGAACGUAGCGAAAUGCGAUAAGUAAUGCGAAUUGCAGAAUUCAGUGAGUCAUCGAGUCUUUGAACGCACAUUGCGCCCCCUGGUAUUCCGGGGGGCAUGCCUGUCCGAGCGUCAUUGCUGCCCUCAAGCACGGCUUGUGUGUUGGGCCUCCGUCCUCCUCCCGGGGGACGGGCCCGAAAGGCAGCGGCGGCACCGCGUCCGGUCCUCGAGCGUAUGGGGCUUCGUCACCCGCUCUUGUAGGCCCGGCCGGCGCUUGCCGACACAUCAAUCUUUUUUCCAGGUUGACCUCGGAUCAGGUAGGGAUACCAGCUGAACUUAAGCAUAUCAAUAAGCGGAGGA
rnacentral:misc_RNA from 1 species